rnacentral:rRNA from 1 species
GCAGCCGCGGUAAUACGUAGGUGGCGAGCGUUGUCCGGAAUUAUUGGGCGUAAAGGGAGCGCAGGUGGGAAAGUAAGUCAGUCUUAAAAGUUCGGGGCUCAACCCCGUGAUGGGAUUGAAACUACUUUUCUUGAGUGCAGGAGAGGAAAGCGGAAUUCCUAGUGUAGCGGUGAAAUGCGUAGAUAUUAGGAGGAACACCAGUGGCGAAGGCGGCUUUCUGGACUGUAACUGACACUGAGGCUCGAAAGCGUGGGGAGCGAACAGGAUUAGAUACCCC